CGGCGAUGGAGGGUAGUGCGACGAGGGGCAGUGAUUGCAGUCACCGAGUAGUACUACUACUACUACUAUAAGCUACCUGGCUUAAGCCUAAUCCUGCAAUGGUGGUUUAUUCCUUGUCAGAUUUCUAUUUCAGUUCUCGCGCUUGCUUUCUCGCGGGUAGCACCCGAUUCUCUGCGCCUGCUGCUGCUGCCUCGAUUCUCCUCCGCGGGCUUCGAAAUCGCCCUCUCUCCUGGCACACACAGCGCCCUGUGAAUGAAAGCUGCAGAAUGGCGACCCUGCAGUUUGGUUGCCUACUGCGUACUUGAUCACGGCACACGGGGACGACAAAGGGGGUUGCGUGGUGCAUGGCAUUCCCUUGCAUGGUCGGCACCCAUUAAGGUUUGUGCCUCGCGGUUCUGUACCCAUUAGGGUUAGGAUUAGGGUUUUGCGAGGUUAUGCCCUUUUGGUGAGGAACGAUUGUCUGUCUUAGUUUCAGAUUGUUAGGUCACACUUUGUCAGAGUCUGUGGCCAUGUGAUGGUGGACAAGUUGAUGGCCAUAAAAACAAAAAGAACAGUUAGUUUGUAUGCAUAAUGAAGAAGGUACAGGAGUUGGGGAUAUUACAUGAUGACAAGGAAAGACAGCAAAGGGGGGAUGCAAUUUAUAAAAUAAUAAUAAUAAUAAUAAUAAAUCAACUAUCAUUUGCUUAUUGCAAUCCCAGGAAACUGUACAGAACAUGUAUUUUGUUAUCAUUUUGAAUUUCAAUAUAUUUACAGAGUAAUGUUUUAUUGUUUUUGUAAAACCUGUGUUGAUAAAUGUAGAAGUUUCUGAGCAUGUACAUAUCAACACUUUGUGACCCAACUCUCUUGCAUUAUGUU